GUGCGCGGGAAAUGUUGUAUAGGUUCUUGUGUGUGGUGGGAAUGUGAGGUACCUUUUGUGCUUUUGCCAGUUAUGCCAUUUAUAUGACGUAAACUUAUCUUCAGGCUGGGUUCACACUGUUUGUGUUUAACGUACAGGGGUGUACACAAGGUCCCCUCGAGCCCUUGUCAACUGUAUGAGCAUCCUCAAGACACUGAUACAGUUAAAUAUUGCAAUGGACGUAGGACGUAGACGAGCAGCGCUUUUCUCUUGCCGAAGAAAUAUGAAAUGUGUCGUCUGAAGCAUCAAAUCACAGUAUUAAAAGCAGAUGCACACCCUGCAUUGCUUAAGAUUAUUUUCUUCUUUCUUAUAGAUUAGAAUGAAUGAACGAACACAAUAGCAGAGUGAUGAAACUUUCAUUGAGUUUUGGAUUAUUUGUUUUGAGUAAAUCAAGUACUAUUAUAGUGCCACAAUGCCCAAUUACAGUGCAAGACAGUGCUGCUUUGCAGACAUCCCUCUGUUGCAAUCAAUUUUAUUUGUAUUUGAUGAUAAAGAAUAUC